rnacentral:rRNA from 1 species
UACGUAGGGUGCAAGUGUUGUCCGGAAUUAUUGGGCGUAAAGAGCUCGUAGGCGGUUUGUCGCGUCGAAUGUGAAAACCCGGGGCUCAACCCCGGGCCUGCAUUCGAUACGGGCAGACUAGAGUUCGGUAGGGGAGUCUGGAAUUCCUGGUGUAGCGGUGAAAUGCGCAGAUAUCAGGAGGAACACCGGUGGCGAAGGCGGGACUCUGGGCCGAUACUGACGCUGAGGAGCGAAAGCGUGGGGAGCGAACAGG